rnacentral:rRNA from 1 species
CGCUGUGACUCCUACGGGAGGCAGCAGUGGGGAAUAUUGCACAAUGGGGGAAAACCCUGAUGCAGCCAUGCCGCGUGUGUGAAGAAGGCCUUCGGGUUGUAAAGCACUUUCAGUAGGGAGGAAGGUAGUGUAGUUAACACCUGCACUAUUUGACGUUACCUACAGAAGAAGCACCGGCUAACUCCGUGCCAGCAGCCGCGGUAAUACGGAGGGUGCGAGCGUUAAUCGGAAUUACUGGGCGUAAAGCGCAUGCAGGUGGUUUGUUAAGUCAGAUGUGAAAGCCCGGGGCUCAACCUCGGAAUUGCAUUUGAAACUGGCAGACUAGAGUACUGUAGAGGGGGUAGAAUUUCAGGUGUAGCGGUGAAAAUGCGUAGAGAUCUGAAGGAAUACCGGUGGCGAAGGCGGCCCCCUGGACAGAUACUGACACUCAGAUGCGAAAGCGUGGGGAGCAAACAGGAUUAGAUACCCUGGUAG